UACGUAGGGGGCAAGCGUUGUCCGGAAUCAUUGGGCGUAAAGCGCGUGUAGGCGGCUCGAUAAGUCUGCUGUGAAAGUUCAGGGCUCAACCCUGAAAUGCCGGUGGAAACUGUCGGGCUAGAGUCCGGAAGAGGCGAGUGGAAUUCCUGGUGUAGCGGUGAAAUGCGCAGAUAUCAGGAGGAACACCAAUGGCGAAGGCGGUUCUCUGGGACGGUACUGACGCUGAGACGCGAAAGCGUGGGGAGCGAACAGG
rnacentral:rRNA from 1 species